UACUGCCUGGACUACUCCGUCUCUUGUUUGUUUGUUUGCUCAUUAACAGUAAGAGGUCAUGUACACUGUGGUCAACUUUGUGGAUGCUGAAGAGGUUUCUGGGUAAAGAUGAUAGAAAUAUAAUGAAGUAACAGUGAAAGCUAAAACAUCAGACUGAUCCAGACACUGAAGAAAUUGAUGUCACUGCAAUCUGGCCAAAAUGAUACAACAAUAUUGAAGUAGCCUACUGUAAUGAAGCUGCAGAACAACACAGAGACUCUGAGGACAUCAACACAGAAAAUGAAGGUUCCAAAGAGAUGUCUGUCCAGAUGAGGGUGCAUCAACUUUACCUUUGCUGACAACAGUUAACUUAACUCAAACCAUUUAAGGAAAUCGGUUGCCUUAAACCAUUAAGUUUUAA